CCCCGGUAAACGGCGGCCGUAACUAUAACGGUCCUAAGGUAGCGAAAUUCCUUGUCGGGUAAGUUCCGACCUGCACGAAUGGCGUAAUGAUGGCCAGGCUGUCUCCACCCGAGACUCAGUGAAAUUGAACUCGCUGUGAAGAUGCAGUGUACCCGCGGCAAGACGGAAAGACCCCGUGAACCUUUACUAUAGCUUGACACUGAACAUUGAGCCUUGAUGUGUAGGAUAGGUGGGAGGCUUUGAAGUGUGGACGCCAGUCUGCAUGGAGCCGACCUUGAAAUACCACCCUUUAAUGUUUGAUGUUCUAACGUGGACCCGUAAUCCGGGUUGCGGACAGUGUCUGGUGGGUAGUUUGACUGGGGCGGUCUCCUCCUAAAGAGUAACGGAGGAGCACGAAGGUUGGCUAAUCCUGGUCGG
rnacentral:rRNA from 1 species